AGAGGGAAGAGAGCGGCAGGAGGUAACGCCAACCAUCGUCUUCCUUUGGCCACAUCAGUUCAAAAAGAAGAUCAAAAUAUAAAGACUGUGUUUCACAGAAAAAAAAUGUAGGUGUAGAUGCUGCUGAACAGUGAUGUCAGAGAAAACUACACUUGAUUCUUCACCUUGAAAUCAAGAUGUGUUUCAAGAUGAUCCUUUUUGGGGGAGAACAAUGAUCAAAAUGCAGAACAACUUAAAAGGAAGAAUAAAGAGGUAAUGUGCAGGAUGUACUGCUCUGGGGUCUUUAUGCCAGUUCCUGUUGAUUUCAGAACUGCAGUGCCAAGUGAAAAGACUAUUGUGG
rnacentral:lncRNA from 1 species